rnacentral:rRNA from 1 species
AUGAUGUGGUUUAAUCGAUGCAACGCGAAAACCUUACCCACCUUUGACAUGUACGGAAUCCUCUAGAGAUAGAGGAGUGCUCGAAAGAGAGCCGUAACACAGGUGCUGCAUGGCUGUCGUCAGCUCGUGUCGUGAGAUGUUGGGUUAAGUCCCGCAACGAGCGCAACCCUUGCCAUUAGUUGCUACGAAAGGGCACUCUAAUGGGACUGCCGGUGACAAACCGGAGGAAGUGGGGAUGACGUCAAGUCCUCAUGGCCCUUAUAGGUGGGGCUACACACGUCAUACAAUGGCCGGUACAGAGGGUAGCCAACCCGCGAGGGGGAGCCAAUCCCACAAAGCCGGUCGUAGUCCGGAUCGCAGUCUGCAACUCCGACUGCGUGAAGUCGGAAUCGCUAGUAAUCGCGGAUCAGCAUGUCGCGGUGAAUACGUUCCCGGGUCUU